rnacentral:rRNA from 1 species
AGAGUUUGAUCCUGGCUCAGGAUGAACGCUGGCGGCGUGCUUAAUAUAUGCAAGUCGAACGGGGGUCCGUAAGGAUCCUAGUGGCGAACGGGUGAGUAACGCGUUGGUGACCUGCCCCGGAGCGAGGGAUACCAGGCCGAAAGGCUUGUUAAUACCGCAUGUGCAGUUGGGAGAUUAGAAGCCUGACUGGAAAGCAGAAAUGCGCUCUGGGAGGGGCCUGCGACCCAUCAGCUAGUUGGUAAGGUAAUGGCCUACCAAGGCGAUGACGGGUAGGGGACCUGAGAGGGUGGCCCCCCACAAUGGAACUGAAAUACGGUCCAUACACCUACGGGUGGCAGCAGUAGGGAAUAUUGCUUAAUGGGCGUAAGCCUGAAGCAGCAACGCCGCGUGUGCGAUGAAGGCCUUCGGGUUGUAAAGCACUUUUGAUCGGGAAGAGGAAGGAUGGUACCGGUCGAAUCAGUCUCGGCUAACUACGUGCCAGCAGCCGCGGUAAAACGUAGGAGGCGAGCGUUAUCCGGAUUUACUGGGUGUAAAGCGCGUGUAGGCGGUCUGGAAAGUUGGAUGUGAAAGCUCCUGGCUCAACUGGGAGAGGUCGUUCAAAACUUCUAGACUAGAGUAUGGUAGAGGGAGGUGGAAUUCCGGGUGUAGUGGUGAAAUGCGUAGAUAUCCGGAGGAACACCAGUGGCGAAAGCGGCCUCCUGGACCAUUUCUGACGCUCAGACGCGAAAGCUAGGGUAGCAAACGGGAUUAGAGACCCCGGUAGUCCUAGCUGUAAACGAUGUAGACUUGGCGUCGGUGGGUUUAAAUCCAUCGGUGCCGUAGCCAACGCGAUAAGUCUACCACCUGGGGACUACGGCCGCAAGGUUAAAACUUAAAGGAAUUGAUGG